rnacentral:rRNA from 1 species
UACGUAGGGGGCGAGCGUUUGUCCCGGAUUUAUUGGGCGUAAAGAGCUCGUAGGCGGUUUGGUAAGUUGGAUGUGAAAUCUCCAGGCUCAACUUGGAGGGGUCAUUCGAUACUGCCAUGACUAGAGUUCGGUAGGGGAGUGUGGAAUUCCUGGUGGAGCGGUGAAAUGCGCAGAUAUCAGGAGGAACACCCGUAGCGAAGGCGGCACUCUGGGCCGGAACUGACGCUGAGGAGCGAAAGCGUGGGGAGCGAACAGGA